rnacentral:rRNA from 1 species
AUUGAACGCUGGCGGCAGGCCUAACACAUGCAAGUCGAACGAGUGGCGGACGGGUGAGUAAUGUCUAGGAAACUGCCCGAUGGAGGGGGAUAACUACUGGAAACGGUAGCUAAUACCGCAUACCAUCGGAUGUGCCCAGAUGGGAUUAGCUUGUAGGUGAGGUAACGGCUCACCUAGGCGACGAUCCCUAGAUGGUCUGAGAGGAUGACCAGCCACACUGUGACUGAUACGCGGUCCAGACUCCUAAGGGAGGCAGCAGUUGGUAUUAUGGCACAAGGGGGGCAAGCCUGAUGAAGCCAUGCCGCGUGUAUGAAGAGGGCCUUUGUGUUGUAAAGUACUUUCAGCGGGGAGGCGUUACGCGCAGAAGAAGCACAGGCUAACUCCGUGCCAGCAGCCGCGGUAAUAC